UACGUAGGGUGCAAGCGUUAAUCGGAAUUACUGGGCGUAAAGCGUGCGCAGGCGGUUGUGCAAGACAGGGGUGAAAUCCCCGAGCUUAACUUGGGAACUGCCUUUGUGACUGCACGGCUAGAGUGUGUCAGAGGGGGGUAGAAUUCCACGUGUAGCAGUGAAAUGCGUAGAGAUGUGGAGGAAUACCGAUGGCGAAGGCAGCCCCCUGGGAUAACACUGACGCUCAUGCACGAAAGCGUGGGGAGCAAACAGG
rnacentral:rRNA from 1 species